AAAUGGAUGAUACUGUGAGAGUGGAGACUACUUUGAAAAGCCUGGGGUGUGGUCUGAACACUGAGUCUGCAGUACACGAGCUACUGAGUGCUCUGUGAACUCCUCCAAGAGGCAGGGGGGCAAAGGGAGCAAAGAAAAGCAUUUCCCACCUUGGCUAAACCUUUUGUGAAACAAAAUGAAAGCAGCUAGAAAUGAAGAGUUGGAAUGGGGUGAGCAUUCCUAGAAAUGCCACAACCACUUAGGAUGACAAGCCAACAGGGAUGCUCUCUGAACCGAUCAGGACUUUUCCAGAUGCCAGGAAGCAUUUUGUCAUUGCAACGUUCUAGUUUUCUUCUGUCCCAUUUUUAUGGGGGAAAAAAAGAAUGUAGCAUAAUGAAUGGAAAUAGAAUGCAGAUGAGGAGCUAUUGGUGCUUGACUGCAACCUUGCUUUCUGGAAGUCAGAAGAUAUUGAGAUUUCUGCUCAGGUCAUGGUAAAAUGCAUCUUGCUCCUAUUUUCACCUUGUUAAGCAGCGUUCUUAGUGAAGCUGGGCAGGCGCCGGGCAAGCUCCUGCCGGCGGCUCAUCCCCGCAGGGCUUUUCCUGGGCAGGGGCGGCCUGGGCACGGCCAGCCUCCGUGCCUGCCGCGUCGGCCUCGUCCGCGGCAUCGGCAGGCGCGGCGCAAACCGCAAACCCCUUUGCCUCUUCGGGCAGCGCCCUGGCGAGAGGC